AACGAACGCUGGCGGCAUGCCUAACACAUGCAAGUCGAACGAGACCUUCGGGUCUAGUGGCGCACGGGUGCGUAACGCGUGGGAACCUGCCCUUAGGUUCGGAAUAACUCCCCGUAAGGGGUGCUAAUACCGGAUAAUGUCUUCGGACCAAAGAUUUAUCGCCUUUGGAUGGGCCCGCGUUGGAUUAGCUAGUUGGUAGGGUAAAAGCCUACCAAGGCGACGAUCCAUAGCUGGUCGGAGAGGAUGAUCAGCCACACUGGGACUGAGACACGGCCCAGACUCCUACGGGAGGCAGCAGUGGGGAAUAUUAGACAAUGGGCGAAAGCCUGAUCCAGCAAUGCCGCGUGAGUGAUGAAGGCCUUAGGGUUGUAAAGCUCUUUUAGCCGAGAUGAUAAUGACAGUACCGGGAGAAUAAGCUCCGGCUAACUCCGUG
rnacentral:rRNA from 1 species